rnacentral:rRNA from 1 species
GAAAGAAUAUCGGAGACGGAUGGGCAUGCGGCGCAUUAGCUGGUUGGCGGGGUAACAGCCCACCAAGGCGACGAUGCGUAGGGGUUCUGAGAGGAAGGUCCCCCACACUGGUACUGAGACACGGACCAGACUCCUACGGGAGGCAGCAGUGAGGAAUAUUGGUCAAUGGGCGAGAGCCUGAACCAGCCAAGUCGCGUGAGGGAGUACUGCCCUAUGGGUUGUAAACCUCUUUUGUCGGGGAGCAAAAGCCGGACGUGUCCGGCUGUGAGAGUACCCGAAGAAGAAGCAUCGGCUAACUCCGUGCCAGCAGCCGCGGUAAUACGGAGGAUGCGAGCGUUAUCCGGAUUUAUUGGGUUUAAAGGGUGCGCGGGCGGAUUUUUAAGUCAGCGGUCAAAUCGUGGGGCUCAACCCCAUCCAGCCGUUGAAACUGGGGAUCUAGAGUGUGCGAGAGGUAUGCGGAAUGCGUGGUGUAGCGGUGAAAUGCAUAGAUAUCACGCAGAACCCCGAUUGCGAAGGCAGCAUACCGGUGCACAACUGACGCUCAGGCACGAAAGCGUGGGUAUCGAACAGGAUUAGAUACCCUGGUAGUCCACGCAGUAAACGAUGAAUGCUACCUGUUUGGCCAGAUUGAUGGCUGA